rnacentral:rRNA from 1 species
AACGGCCGCGGUAUUCUGACCGUGCAAAGGUAGCAUAAUCAUUUGUCUUUUAAAUAAAGACUAGCAUGAAUGGCAAGACGAAAAUUUAACUGUCUCCCUUAUUCAAUCAAUGAAACUGAUCUCCUCGUACAAAAGCGAGUAUACUAAUAUAAGACGAGAAGACCCUAUGGAGCUUAAAACACGCUAACAACUACACCAAUAAAAAUUCAUGUAUAGCUGUUUUCGGUUGGGGCGACCACGGAGAAAACUUAACCUCCGAGACAUUUCACAGAAUACACCUCUUAGAACUAGACCAUCUAAUAAUUUGACCCAAUAAAUUUUGAUCAACGAACCAAGUUACCCUAGGGAUAACAGCGCAAUUUUCUUCUAGAGUCCCUAUCGCCAAGAAAGUUUACGACCUCGAUGUUGGAUCAGGAUACCCCAACAGU